rnacentral:rRNA from 1 species
GACGAACGCUGGCGGCGUGCUUAACACAUGCAAGUCGAACGGAAAGGCCCUGCUUUUGUGGGGUGCUCGAGUGGCGAACGGGUGAGUAACACGUGGGUAACCUGCCCUUGACUUUGGGAUAACUUCAGGAAACUGGGGCUAAUACCGGAUAGGAGCUCCUGCUGCAUGGUGGGGGUUGGAAAGUUUCGGCGGUUGGGGAUGGACUCGCGGCUUAUCAGCUCGUUGGUGGGGUAGUGGCUUACCAAGGCUUUGACGGGUAGCCGGCCUGAGAGGGUGACCGGCCACAUUGGGACUGAGAUACGGCCCAGACUCCUACGGGAGGCAGCAGUGGGGAAUAUUGCACAAUGGGCGGAAGCCUGAUGCAGCAACGCCGCGUGCGGGAUGACGGCCUUCGGGUUGUAAACCGCUUUCGCCUGUGACGAAGCGUGAGUGACGGUAAUGGGUAAAGAAGCACCGGCUAACUACGUG